rnacentral:rRNA from 1 species
UACGAAGGGGGCUAGCGUUGCUCGGAAUCACUGGGCGUAAAGGGUGCGUAGGCGGGUCUUUAAGUCAGGGGUGAAAUCCUGGAGCUCAACUCCAGAACUGCCUUUGAUACUGAAGAUCUUGAGUUCGGGAGAGGUGAGUGGAACUGCGAGUGUAGAGGUGAAAUUCGUAGAUAUUCGGCAAGAACACCAGUGGCGAAGGCGGCCUCCUGGAUCGAUACUGACGCUGAGGCGCGAAAGCGUGGGGAGCAAACAGG